rnacentral:rRNA from 1 species
GACGAACGCUGGCGGCGUGCCUAAUACAUGCAAGUCGAGCGAAGUUUUUCUGGUGCUUGCACUAGAAAAACUUAGCGGCGAACGGGUGAGUAACACGUAAAGAACCUGCCUCAUAGACGGGGACAACUAUUGGAAACGAUAGCUAAUACCGGAUAACAGCAUAAAUCGCACGAUAUAUGUUUAAAAGUUGGUUUCGGCUAACACUAUGAGAUGGCUUUGCGGUGCAUUAGCUAGUUGGUGGGGUAAAGGCCUACCAAGGCGACGAUGCAUAGCCGACCUGAGAGGGUGAUCGGCCACACUGGGACUGAGACACGGCCCAGACUCCUACGGGAGGCAGCAGUAGGGAAUCUUCCGCAAUGGGCGAAAGCCUGACGGAGCAACGCCGCGUGAGUGAAGAAGGAUUUCGGUUCGUAAAGCUCUGUUGUUAGGGAAGAAUGAUUGUAUAGUAACUAUAUACAGUAGAGACGGUACCUAACCAGAAAGCCACGGCUAACUACGUGCCAGCAGCCGCGGUAAUACGUAGGUGGCAAGCGUUGUCCGGAAUUAUUGGGCGUAAAGCGCGCGCAGGUGGUUUAAUAAGUCUGAUGUGAAAGCCCACGGCUCAACCGUGGAGGGUCAUUGGAAACUGUUAAACUUGAGUGCAGGAGAGAAAAGUGGAAUUCCUAGUGUAGCGGUGAAAUGCGUAGAGAUUAGGAGGAACACCAGUGGCGAAGGCGGCUUUUUGGCCUGUAACUGACACUGAGGCGCGAAAGCGUGGGGAGCAAACAGG